rnacentral:lncRNA from 1 species
GUUUUGUUAGCAGCCGGACUGGUCUCGGUCACUCUGUGUGCAGAAAUGUAUUAUAGACCUGUAAUUCUCCUCUCAGUCUGCAGGCAUCAUCGGCACAGGGAUCGACCCACCAUGAGCAGGAGAAAGAAGAUGUUUCGAAGGAGGCGGUUCUGGGAGAAGAGGAUUUGGGUCCUGAGGAGCCAGACUUAUCAACACUAAGCCUUUGUGAGAAGAUGGCAUUAUUCAAUCGCUUGUCACAUCCCUCUGGCCAGUCAGCAAACGGACCCCGUCCUGACACACGCCAGCGUAGAGCCAACACCCGCUUUCAGACUCAACCAAUCACCCAGGACGAGGUUGAUCAGGAACUUACAAAAGACGUAGAUCUGUCCGGUCUCACAGAUCAACCCGCUGUGACUAAUGAUUCUGUUGGUCCCCCUCAGAGCGAGCAAGUAAGACACUCUGGACUGAGGCUUUUGAUUGGC